rnacentral:rRNA from 1 species
UGGGGAAUAUUGGACAAUGGGCGAAAGCCUGAUCCAGCCAUGCCGCGUGUGUGAAGAAGGUCUUCGGAUUGUAAAGCACUUUAAGUUGGGAGGAAGGGCAGUAAGCGAAUACCUUGCUGUUUUGACGUUACCGACAGAAUAAGCACCGGCUAACUCUGUGCCAGCAGCCGCGGUAAUACAGAGGGUGCAAGCGUUAAUCGGAAUUACUGGGCGUAAAGCGCGCGUAGGUGGUUCGUUAAGUUGAAUGUGAAAGCCCCGGGCUCAACCUGGGAACUGCAUCCAAAACUGGCGAGCUAGAGUAGGGCAGAUGGUGGUGGAAUUUCCUGUGUAGCGGUGAAAUGCGUAGAUAUAGGAAGGAACACCAGUGGCGAAGGCGACCACCUGGGCUCAUACUGACACUGAGGUGCGAAAGCGUGGGGAGCAAACAGG